CCUACGGGGGGCUGCAGUGGGGAAUAUUGGACAAUGGGCGCAAGCCUGAUCCAGCCAUGCCGCGUGAGUGAUGAAGGCCUUAGGGUUGUAAAGCUCUUUUGUCCGGGAGGAUAAUGACCGUACCGGAAGAAUAAGCUCCGGCUAACUUCGUGCCAGCAGCCGCGGUAAUACGAAGGGAGCUAGCGUUGUUCGGAAUUACUGGGCGUAAAGCGCAUGCAGGCGGAUCGUUAAGUCGGGGGUGAAAUCCCAGGGCUCAACCCUGGAACUGCCUUCGAUACUGGCGACCUUGAGUCCGGGAGAGGUGAGUGGAACUCCGAGUGUAGAGGUGAAAUUCGUAGAUAUUCGGAAGAACACCAGUGGCGAAGGCGGCUCACUGGCCCGGUACUGACGCUGAGAUGCGAAAGCGUGGGGAGCAAACAGGAUUAGAUACCCGAGUAGUC
rnacentral:rRNA from 1 species